rnacentral:rRNA from 1 species
AUUGAACGCUGGCGGCGUGCUUAACACAUGCAAGUCGAUCGGUAACAGGUGUAGCAAUACAUGCUGACGAGAGGCGGACGGGUGAGUAAUGCUUGGGAAUCUGCCUAUUAGUGGGGGACAACCCGGGGAAACUCGGGCUAAUACCGCAUACGCUCUACGGAGGAAAGCCGGGGACCGCAAGGCCUGGCGCUAAUAGAUGAGCCCAAGUCGGAUUAGCUAGUUGGUAGGGUAACGGCCUACCAAGGCGACAAUCCGUAGCUGGUCUGAGAGGACGACCAGCCACACCGGAACU